rnacentral:tRNA from 1 species
GGGCAGUUAGCUCAGAGGCAGAGCGUCUCGCUUACACCGAGAGGGUCGGGGGUUCGAAUCCCUCACUGCCCA